AAAAGAAUAAUAUUUAUAAGUUUAAAAUUCAUGUUUUAUUAUUUUAAGAUGUUUUAAGAUAUUAAGAACUUUUUGUGGUAAUAGUACUAAACUGGAGAGUAAUUUUUUGUAUGUACCACCAAUGAUUGAGUGGAAGAAUGUUGGUUCACCAUAUUAGAGAUAAUUAAAAAUACAUAGAGAGGGUGAUUCAAAGAACUUGGGUCCGUCUCAGAGUGCUUUCCCUCCUCUCCCUAGCUUGGGCCCCCCUCGACCACCGCCUUCCUCCGCCCAAGCCCUGAUCCGUACUCUCGACUGCCGCCGUCCUCGCCCAACCCUCUUCCUCUCUAUCCUCUUCCCCCCACUCCUUACCAUAGCUACACCCACCUCCCCCCUCUCACCAUUCUAGUUGGGGAGCCACACUCUUCCCAUAUUGUGAAGGCUUUGAGGUCCUCUUCGGUAGGUCUAUACACCCCUUCAGGCAUGACAUCAAAGGUAUAAAGAAAUGGAAUAGGGAAGUUUGGGCUUUCUCAGACCUAACCUGCCUAGAGAAUUUCUUUUCUCUUUCCCAUCUAAAGUCAGUUGUAAUAGUGCCCAGCAGGGACACCAUUCUUGGUUCAAUGGGGCAUCUCUCACCCUUUCUGUUUGGAAUUAGUACCUGGGAGCCGUUUUGUAAACAAUUUGGUUUCAGGCCACCAACAUCCCCAUGCAAGCGUGGCGCAUCAACACUUUCAAAAAAAUUGGGGACUCUUGCGACGAGUUUAGCUUGGUCCAUUAGAGGUCCUCAGGCACCCUUCCUCUUGGAUCAAUCCAACUUCUCAUAGAAUCGUUGGCCCCUUUCCUCAUCCCACCCUCCAUCUGGCUGAAGUAGAUGGCCUCUUCUUGAACAUUCCCAUGGCUUGGUCCUUCACCUCUCCCCUAUCGUCCCGCCAUCUCAGAGACCUCGAUCCUCCUCUGUUUGGAUCACAUUCCUUGAUACACGAGGAUGGAUGGAUCGAGGUCUCGCAUAGAGGACGGUCGGGAAAUGACCAUCAGCGUCCAAGUUCCAUUGUGUGGCUAACAAAGUUGGUACUAAGCAAACUGCUGCCCCAAGAGCUUCACCACCUCUCGAGCUUCCCAUCAUUCACGAUGAUGGGACGAAUGGUUGCUUCAUAAACCCCAUUUCCCAAGGCAAGUCAUCCCUGGCCUUAGAGCAGGCGGCUCUAUCUCCCCAUCUGGACCAGCCACGUGGCUCUUUCUCGAUUGUCUCGCCAUCGAUCCUCCCCUAGUGUGCAUCUCAAUGAUCUCUUGAUCGCAAUUUCCUCUUUUCAGGAGAUGCCACGUGGCUCCACGUCCUUUGUCCUUCGUCGAACCGUCCUGGUGAGCAAGUGAUCGUUGCUUCCCUUUCCAAUCCCGUGACACUAGUUGUCCUUCCUCCAUGUCUCCCUCCGGUCUUAGGAAACUAGCAAGCAACUCUCCUCCCUUUUCCUCUUUUCACUCAUUGAUCCUAUUGUUUCCUCAGUUACAUUUUCUGAGCCUUUCCUCUACACGGAUGGUGGACACUUGCCCUCUCCUGUCGUGUCCCUUUCCCCCCUUUUUCACCCAUCCAAUCGUGUUUCACAUGCAAACUGCUCCUUCAUCUCGUUUUUUCCAAGCUCCUAUACCCUCUCUAUCCUCGCUUUCUUUUCCCCCUCUCUCUCCACCCUCUCCCAACGCCAUCCCAUGCUUGCAACCCUUCUUCCAGCAACCCCUCUUGAUAUGCCCUCCCCUAGCCUUAUUAUUUCACCUCAGCGUUUUCCUCCUAAUUCAUCUCCUGCUCCUCUCUUCCCCCAAAUAACCAACAUCAUACAAUGUUGUUUGUAGACAUGAAUUUUGUUUUGGUCAUUUAUGACCUGCCUGUUAGAUUUAUUCAUAAACUGAUGAGCAAUUGGUAAGAUGCAUAAUAGCUUUAUUUUAGUUGGAAUUCUUAUUUCCUCUUUCCAAAUCUAUCUUGAUAAAUAUUGAAUUUCUCAUUCGGGCCUUUCGAUUAUUGGAUCUAGAAGCAUUUUAUUUUAGACAUGUCGUGGUGCGUGGCUCUACCGCUAUAUCCGAUUAAUGUGUUGCUUUCGACAUACCAGUAGACAAUCUGAUGAGCCUCACCAAGCAUGUGUCAUUUUUUGGUGUCAAACAUGGAGGCAUUUUCCUGUUCACAUCUUGAAAUUUCAGACAUGGACACCUACGAUUUGAUAUGUUUGCCCCCAUAAGUUUUGACAUAGGUCUAGAAGUUGAACAACCAUAUUCAUGUAUGGGAUGCAUGUAUUUUCUUUUUUAUGUUAAUUUUUCUUAUUUACUUUUGACAAUUUUUAUUAUUUAUAUUUCUUUUUAUAGCUUUUGAAUUUGUCUUCCAUCUUAUAUCUCAUCCGUGUGAUUCAUCACAUAGAAAUAUUUGUUGAGGCGUGUUUCAACAUUCAACCAAAUGCAUAUUUGAAUUGGGUCCCUCACUUCACUAAUAAGAAUUAACAUGUCACUUCAUGUGAAUUGUUGUUUUGCGUAAACGUAAUCUCAGUUUAAGAUGAAUCUUUUCUUGACCAAAUCAUUAUUAGCACUUAGCAGCCUUUGUUCUUGCAUCAAAUAAAACUCACAUGAAAUGAAAAUUCUGCUAGCUCCCCAAAACAAAGGAACACAGUAAUUACGUCCAAAUUGUUCCAGCAUUCAUGCAGGUUGAACUGGACAAGAUAUUGUCUCAUUUUUGUCUAAGAUGCCCUUUUGUAGGGAUUGUAGUUUCUUCAAAUUUAGUUAUCUCGUGCAUUAUUUGUGAAAUUCAUUUAUGUUGGGAGCUCUUGAACUUGUACCUGUAUUGAGGUCUGCUCUUCAAACUAGCAAACUUUUUGGGAGAGGUGCAACUAUGCAGUGGAAGACCCUAACAGCCUCACUAUUCUUCAAGAUACUAUCAAACCAUUCCAGUUUUAUGUUCUAUGAUGUGACUCAAUGUUUCUAAUGGGCAAUCUCAAUGACAUACAUGACCAGAUUGAUUUCAAGUUAAUUAAACCCUGAUUUAAGAAAUGGGAUGAGGAGGCUGUGUUCAAGUGUUAAGAGGAGGGUAGGUAGUUAUAGUUGAGUUGACUGCUUGGUUGCUUGAGAACUUUCAAGCCUGGAUAGGGAGUGAGGUACUGCUUGCUUGGAUCACCAUGAUACUUUUGGGAUCAUUUCAAAACCCUAACUUGAGUAUUCUCUUCAAAGAAAGAGAGUGAUAGCCCCCUUGACAAAAGCGUGGCCACCCAAGAGUAUCUUCUUCCUUGUGCUCUCAUUUGAAACCCUUCCAUGGACUAGUCCCUCAUGUGUGUGAUCAAGCCCAUACUAUUGCUUCACUAAGGUGGUAGAAAGCUGGGAUAUACGCUAGUAGUAUUGGCUCAUGUUUGGGACAAUUCCAUGCCGUAUGAAAAGAACAGUAUGUUAAGCCAAGAGUGGAGGUCUUGUUGUUCAACCAUUGCGUGCAUGUUGCUGAAGGAAGCUUGGUUGCUUGCUGUACAGGAACAUGCUUCACCCCCAUCAUGAUGCAUGGAGGACAUGUCCAUCUUCGAUGCCAUAAAAGAAGUUGUUCAUUUGCAUAGAGGGUGUGGAAUAAAGGGAGUUGCCAGCCCCACCUGCACCUCCUAGUUCCAAGCAUUCAAUAAUCGAAGGCAUCGAUACAUUUAUCAGCGAGGCCAUGGAAGGAUACCAUGCUGCAACAUGGAGAGCUUGGUCAUGUGCACAUGUUUUGCUCCAUUUGCCGAGGCUCUCAUUUGAAACUGAAGGAUCUAAGCAGGCAUUAGCAAUUGCUUUUUGUAAAGCUCAAAGCAAGCCAGUGGCUUUGAGGAAGCCUCUUUUGCUGGUUAUUGCAUCUCGUUGUAUAUGUUGCCCUGAUUAUAUAAAAAAGGUUUUGGAGAAAGAUGAAGAUGAAGGUCUCACUGUGUGGGUGCGUGGAGUGGUGUAUAUUUUUGCUCAUUUGUUCCAGCCUGGUCUUUCAUCUAGCUCCAAGAUAAAGAUGGCUGGACCCUUUUUCGGCAAUUUUCAGGGGAGUGCAAAGGCAAAAGGAUAAAGAAAUGAAGAAUUAUUUAGAGAUGUGCAAGUUGGAGAGUACUACAGGCACUGGUCCAGUGAAAGCAUCCGCUAGAAUAGGAAGGAUAAACAAAAUCACCUAAGCAGCACUUGCUUUUCAUGUGGUUUAUGUCUUCUCUUUUUUUUGCCUUGUAAUUGUAGGUGUGAUAUUUUAUGUUGUUAAGCAUUGUUAAAUUAGGAGAGCUGCAUAUUUUAUUUUUUUAAUUCUAUUUUUGUUAAAAAUAAUUGUGGAUGUCAUGGUGAAGACUCUCUCUCUCUCUCUCUCCCUCAUUCAUGAAUUAGGCCUCUGGGCAUUUGGCCAUUUGCUAUGGUACUCAUUUUGAAAGUCUUUUAUAUUGUGAAAUACACCUUUGCUAACUUGCAAAAAAAAAUGUAAUCUGUAUAUGGUAUCUAAACUUUUCCAUUUUCUCUUCAUUGAUGGACAUUCGUGUCCUAAAAAAUCUGAUCUCAUGUUGUAAUGUGUAGACAUGUGAACUGGAUUGCUUGGGCAAUGUAGCUGAAAUGCAUGAUAUAGUUUUUCAGUUGGAUUUCCUGGCCUGAAUGCUCCUAUUCCACCUGGUGCUAGCUUUGGUGAUCAUCCUAGAGGUUGGGGCAAGCCUCCUGUUGAUGAAUUCGGACGCCCACUAUAGUGACGUUUUUGGUGUCCAACAACAAGAACAACCUAAUUAUGAGAGGAACUUGUUGAUAGGAGUAAGUAUAGGGAUGACUUGGAGGAAGGGGAGGAAUAGAUGGAAGAAGAGGAAUUGGAGUACGCCAACUGGUGUGAAGGCACCUGACGUCAUUGAUCUUCGAAAGCAAUAAAGGAAAGAGCCAGGGAAGCCUCUAGACCAAAUGAGUACAUUGAAAGAUUUUGGGCACAAUCUUCUAGUACUCGAAGAGAAGGAAGAAAGGAUUGCACCAAGAACCUUACUUGGAACAACGCACAUGUAUGUGCUUGGGGCAAUGGAUAAUCCUGGUCCAUUAUGUUGCUGAGUGAGGCAGCACCUUAUGAUAAAGUCUGCAAGCACAAUUUAAAUAUGAAAUAAAGAAUGAGGGGAAUUACCGAAGCCAGUAAUGCUGAAAAAGUUAUCUUCACAUGCAUUCCCUAGUUAAUUAUUGGGUGACAAACUGAAUUUGCUAACCUGUGGCAGGACCACAUAGAUGUUUCCCAAUUGCCAAGUAAGAAACACCCCGUAAAAGUCUACACAUUAUUCAAGUCCAAAUCAUCAACUGCAAUAGUUAAGUUAAACAUUAGAUGCGCAAGGGGGAUGUAAACUGAUAAUAUUCAAUAAAUACAUGCAUACAUGUAAUGCUAAAUAUUGUCUGCUUAUCAUGUUAAAUGUGUUAGAAAACCAAAUGAGCUCCCAUUGAAAAUAGCCUUCAUUAGUUUAAUAGUGAUUAUGUAUGGAACUCAAGGCCCCUGCAAGGUCCCUGAGCACUGGGCCCUCUAGCAUAUGACAACACAAUUGUUUAAUGAACUUUCAACAUGCACGAGCAAUUUGAGGGUGGACCAAUGCGACCCAUGGAAAAAGCAUUAUGCCAUUACUGACCUGGUUAUAGUAUAAAAACUCGACAAUCCUCUUAACUUGAUGGUGAAGCCUUUCAACAGAUUGCUAUGAAAGGUAAGGGACCAUAGCUAAUGGAUUAUGGAUGAUUGCAGUACUUCAUGAACCCACAUCUUAAAAGGGAGCCAUGCCUUAGCAGUUGGAGCUCAUUGCAAAAGAAAUUCUUUCACCUUUGUAUAUGAUAUUCCAUCAUUUCACGGAGAUAAUCAGGUAUGUUGUCUUUUGAUGAGUUCUUUUGUGCUUUGAAUGGAUAAGUUGUAUCAUAGCAUACUAGGUAAACUUUUCAAGAUGAAUGUUAUAGUUUCUACUGUUCCAAGAUGGGUUGAAUCUGGAGGCUGAGAGAAACCAUUAUCUCUCUCAUCAAUGUGGCUGGAUCUGAACUAUUAUGAGUUUGAAUAGUGUAUUAUGUACAGUCAUGGUAAUAUUAUGGAUGGGAGGUUUCCUAAA